UACGGAGGAUGCGAGCGUUAUCCGGAUUUAUUGGGUUUAAAGGGUGCGUAGGCGGUCCGUUAAGUCAGCGGUAAAAUUGCGGGGCUCAACCCCGUCGAGCCGUUGAAACUGGCAGACUUGAGUUGGCGAGAAGUACGCGGAAUGCGCGGUGUAGCGGUGAAAUGCAUAGAUAUCGCGCAGAACUCCGAUUGCGAAGGCAGCGUACCGGCGCCACACUGACGCUGAGGCACGAAAGCGUGGGUAUCGAACAGG
rnacentral:rRNA from 1 species